UGAAAUUAGAAUAUUAAUAGACUGUGUUGACGACUCUGCUUCAUUUUACUGUGAUGCCGAAUAAAUCAUAUGUUAUGGUUCAAGGUACAAGGGGAAUUCGCUGGCCCAGAUGAGGAGCCAAAGCAACACCAAGUCACAGUUUCACACGCCGCUUCUAAGGGGAGAUAUGCAAGGUUUAAAGAGAAUUUGAAUGCCAAGCCACUGGAGACGAAGCAAAACCACCAUCAAGUUGCUGUCUCAUGCGCCACUUCAAAAGGGAGCAAUGUCGCUUGAUG